AAAGGAAGGGAGGUGAUCGGUAUUGACUGAGAUUCCUCCGCUAUCCCGUAACUGUGAGUGGGUUUUCCAUCAUUAACGGUCACUGGCCAGACUAAAAUCCGACUGGGAAGGCCGAUGGAAAUGUCCGGUGAGUAGCCGGAGCCCAUAAGCCAGGAGACUU
rnacentral:ncRNA from 2 species